AGGUGCCCGAGCAGACGCGGAUCCUAAGCCAGGACCACCAGCCAGCUGUUUCUCAAAUCUUCGACCCGGAAGAGGUGGCAGACAUCACCAACUACAAAUGAGGAGGACAUGGAGGCCCAGACACCAGAGGCUUGUCCCAGGCACCAGACGCGCAGAGCGGCGCUGUGACCUCACACAACAACUGUGUGGCACACGUACAGGACUGUCAGCUGGUUCUGAGUCAGUUGUACCUACAGGAGGCCCCACGAUGCUCCGUGUGCACCGGGAGAUCUGAAACCUUUCAGCACAUUUGGACAAUAAAAGGAAGGCAAGGGCUCUGGCAGAGACGGGAUGCAUGUGCCAGGGCUCUGGGUCUAUUCUGACCCUCAGCACUGACCCUGGACACCUCCCCUGGACACAGCCCCUCAGACAUCAGGACCCUGACCGCCAGCCUGGCUCCUCAGCCCCAGACAGACACCAUUCAAAGGACUGCAGCUUAGCCAAACAGGGACGGACUCACAGAUGGAGAGCAGGUGACAGCUUGUGGGACGGUGGAGGUUACGGGAUGGAGGGAUUGAUCGAAAAGGAAAGAGGACGCAUGGACAACAAUGUGCUGAUUGCUGGGGAGAGGGGCGUAUAAGGGGACUAAAUGGUAAUGGGAGAAAUACAAUAAAGCUCAAGUAAAAAUGAUUAAAAAACACUAUUGUUGCUUAGAAAUCCAGAAUUUAGCAUGACACAUGUGACUCAAAGGAGGCUCACCAGAAGCAGAGGCACCCACCCAGGAGGCUCCUGAGGCUUCUCCUGGAGCAAAUGUGUCUCAGACUCACCUGAGGGGGUCCCACCAGGACAGGGCCUAGCGCACAUGGUUCACAGGGCCCGUCUAUUCGGCGGGACCAGACCCACUUAGAGAAGGCCGCCCCGAGCGGGGACGGGCCGUCAGCAGAAUGCUGUGGUGAAGCUGCAAGCUCCAGGACACCUGCCCAGGUCACAGCUGUUACGAACAUUCACGUCACAAGGCAAAGGGGACGUCCAACUGCCCCGUUUUCUCAGGUACUUCCCUCCCUAGAGACACUGCAGGGACAGAACAGCUGCACCUAAAUCCCCCACAGAUGUCACACUGCUUAUCUGGGUGGUGUGGGUGUGGGUGUUUACCAUAAAACUGCCGGCAUUAGAAAGUCAACUAGAGAUGGGAGCAGGCGAGAACUAUGACCCCCAGGGCAGAGGCCUCAGCUGGAAGAACCCAGAGUGGUCCCGGCCGCACACACUCUGUGGGGCUCUGCCAGCCUUGGGUGAGGCCUCCUCAGGGCCAGAGUCUCCAGCCCCCUGGGCACUGGAGCACAGCAGCCAGGAUGCCGGCCAGGGGUUCAGAUCUGGCCCACUGCUCCCUCCAGGCACCCGGGCCCUCACCGCCAGCUGUCUCCUCAGCCACCGCCCUGCUGGCUCCCAGGUGGCCUCUGCUCUCUUCCUGCGCCCGGCCCUGCCAGCAGAUCAGUGCAGAGGCCACCCUUCCUGGGCUCUGGGGCUGAAGGGCAGGCCCUCGGCUCCUCUGCUCCCCAACGCCCUCUCCCCGAGGACUGCCUGGCACUCAGAGCCCCUCCAUCUCCCGCUUUGAAAAGCCUUCCUCAGACCACCUACCGACAAUGAGUGGCUGGUUGGCCCAGCUCAGCCUUCUGGAACCAUCCCCAUCCACCCAAGCUGACUUGCAAAAGCCGGCCAAGACACUGGAGGCCCAAUGCUGAGGAAACCAGAGCCCACAGGACCUGGGGGAGGCAGUGGGUACGCCCCUCACUUAGGUGCCUCGAGCCCGUGCCCACACACAUGACGAUGGCAUGUGGACUCUGGGGCAGUGUUCUCCGGGUCCAAGGCAUCCAGUUUCUUGCAAGAAACUUCAGUGACUGCACAGGCUCUGGUGCCCACAGUGGGAGCUGGCCCUCCAGGGCCAGUCCUAAGAGCAGCCGGGGGCUGGGAGUGGAGCAGGAAGAGGCAGCCGGGGAAGUGAGGAAGACUGGGGGCAGGCACCUCGAGGUCUCAGUGAGCCAGUGAGCCGGUGGGUAUGUGUAAGAGAGAAGCAAUAAC